AUGGAGCUGGGGCUGAGCUGCAUUUUCCUGUUUGCAAUUUUAAAAGGUGUCCAGGCUGAGGUGCAACUGGUGGAGUCCGGGGGAGGCUUGGUGCAGCCUGACGGGUCCCUGAGACUCUCCUGAGUGGCUUCAGGGUUCACCUUCAGUAACUAUGGCAUGCACUGGAUCCACCAGGCUCCAGGGAAGGGGCUCGAGUGGAUCUCAGAAAUCCGUAGUGGUGGUAGCACAUACUACGCAGACUCUGUGAAGGGUCAGUUCACCACCUCCAGAGACAACGGCAAGAACACGUUGUAUCUGCAAAUGAGCAGCCUGAGAGCCAAUGACACCGCAAUGUAUUACUGUGCUGGACACAGUGAGGGGACAUCAGUUGCAGACUCUUCCGCCUUCCAGAGCAGGCUCCAGCCUCCUGCACAGAACCUUCAGCCUUUGGGUGCAGACCCCUCACCUCUCCAUCAUGGGCCCUUCUGCCUGACAUGGACUUGCAUGGGACACUGCAGUGAGCUCCAGGCCUCGGACUGCGUCCUUCAGAUUUCCAGUCCACAGACAGCUCUUUUGCACUCUCCCGCACCAGACUCUGCGGGUGGCCAUUUACAAGAACACAAGCUUUUUACUCCCAAAAUGCAGUGGUAUGACAGUCAUAUCACAGUUUUGUACACUUCAUUUGAUAAUAAUAAGAUGCAGGUUAAGAAAGAAUGA